rnacentral:tRNA from 1 species
UAUCAAAUUAGCAGAGCAAUGCAAUUGACUUAGGAUCAAUAGACAUAGGUGAAAUUCCUUUAUUUGAUAU